rnacentral:rRNA from 1 species
UACGGAGGUGGCAAGCGUUACUCGGUUUGACUGGGUGUAAAGGGUCUGCAGGCGGUUAAGUGUGUGAAAGGUGAAAUCUCUCGGCUCAACCGAGAAACUGCCUUUCAAACUGCUUAACUUGAGGAUAGAAUGGGAGAGCGGAACUGCCGGUGUAAGGGUGAAAUCUGUGGAUAUCGGCAGGAACGCCUGUGGUGAAGACGGCUCUCUGGUCUAUAUCUGACGCUCAGGGACGAAAGCAUGGGGAGCAAACAGGAUUAGAUACCCUGGUAGUCCAUGCUGUAAACGAUGUGCACUAGGUGUUCGCUCUUUGAGAGUGAGUGCCGUAGAUAACUCGUUAAGUGCACCACCUGGGGACUACGGCCGCAAGGCUAAA